rnacentral:rRNA from 1 species
GAGAUUUCCCAUUUCUUUAAGAAAGUAAGAUCCCUGAGAGAUGAUCAGGUAGAUAGGUCAGGAGUGGAAGUACAGUGAUGUAUGGAGCGGACUGAUACUAAUCGAUCGAGGACUUAACCAA